UGAUCGGGAGGCCGUCAUUGGGACGACGGCCAUGAAUGGAUCAAACCCUGCCCUCUCUGAUGGCCGUGGCGCUGGACCCCGACAGCGCGCG
rfam:Roseovarius azorensis strain DSM 100674 genome assembly, contig: Ga0131273_116